GACGAACGCUGGCGGCGUGCUUAACACAUGCAAGUCGAGCGGUAAGGCCCUUUCGGGGGUACGACGAGCGGCGAACGGGUGAGUAACACGUGGGUGACCUGCCCUCCAGCUCUGGGAUAAGCCUGGGAAACCGGGUCUAAUACCGGAUAUGACUCCAUGACGCGAUGUUGUGGGGUGGAAAGCCUUGUGCGGCUGAGGAUGGGCCCGCGGCCUAUCAGCUUGUUGGUGGGGUGAUGGCCUACCAAGGCGACGACGGGUAGCCGGCCUGAGAGGGCGACCGGCCACACUGGGACUGAGACACGGCCCAGACUCCUACGGGAGGCAGCAGUGGGGAAUCUUGCGCAAUGGGCGAAAGCCUGACGCAGCGACGCCGCGUGAGGGAUGACGGCCU
rnacentral:rRNA from 1 species